CAUGUAGGCGGCAUGACAAGUCUGGUGUGAAAUAUCUCGGCUCAACCGAGAAAACGCACUGGAAACUGUCAAGCUUGAGUAUCGGAGGGGAAGCUAGAAUUCCUGGUGUAGGGGUGAAAUCUGUAGAUAUCAGGAAGAAUACCGGUGGCGAAGGCGAGCUUCUGGCCAGAUACUGACGCUGAGAUGCGAAAGCGUAGGGAGCGAACAGGAUUAGAUACCCUGGUAGUCC
rnacentral:rRNA from 1 species